rnacentral:tRNA from 1 species
UCCCUGGUGGCUCAGAGGUUAAAGCGUCUGCCUGGAAUGCAGGAUACCCGGGUUCAAUCCCUGGGUUGGGAA